AUUGAACGCUGGCGGCAUGCUUUACACAUGCAAGUCGAACGGUAACAGGCCUUCGGGUGCUGACGAGUGGCGCACGGGUGAGUAAUGCAUCGGAACGUGCCCAGAGGUGGGGGAUAACGCAGCGAAAGCUGUGCUAAUACCGCAUGUGAUCUGAGGAUGAAAGCGGGGGACCAAGCAGCAAUGUUUGGCCUCGCGCCUCUGGAGCGGCCGAUGUCAGGUUAGGUAGUUGGUGGGGUAAAGGCCUACCAAGCCGACGAUCUGUAGCUGGUCUGAGAGGACGACCAGCCACACUGGGACUGAGACACGGCCCAGACUCCUACGGGAGGCAGCAGUGGGGAAUUUUGGACAAUGGGCGCAAGCCUGAUCCAGCAAUGCCGCGUGCGGGAAGAAGGCCUUCGGGUUGUAAACCGCUUUUGUACGGAACGAAAAGGCUCUGGCUAAUACCUGGGGCUGAUGACGGUACCGUAAGAAUAAGCACCGGCUAACUACGUG
rnacentral:rRNA from 1 species